AAGCAUAUCAAUAAGCGGAGGAAAAGAAACCAACCGGGAUUGCCUCAGUAACGGCGAGUGAAGCGGCAAGAGCUCAAAUUUGAAAUCUGGCCCCUCUGGGGUCCGAGUUGUAAUUUGCAGAGGAUGCUUCGGGUGCGGUCCCCGUCUAAGUGCCCUGGAACGGGCCGUCAUAGAGGGUGAGAAUCCCGUCUGGGAUGGGCGGCCGCGCCCGUGUGAAGCUCCUUCGACGAGUCGAGUUGUUUGGGAAUGCAGCUCUAAGCGGGUGGUAAAUUUCAUCUAAAGCUAAAUACUGGCCGGAGACCGAUAGCGCACAAGUAGAGUGAUCGAAAGAUGAAAAGCACUUUGAAAAGAGAGUUAAAUAGCACGUGAAAUUGUUGAAAGGGAAGCGUUGUCCACCAGACUCGCCCGGGGGGGCUCAGCCGGCACGUGUGCCGGUGUACUCCUCUCCGGGCGGGCCAGCAUCGGUUUGGGCGGCUGGUGAAAGGCCCCGGGAAUGUACCACCCUCCGGGGUGUCUUAUAGCCCGGGGUGCCAUGCAGCCAGCCUGGACCGAGGCCCGCGCUUCGGCGAGGAUGCUGGCGUAAUGGUGGUCAACGGCCCGUCUUGAAACACGGACCAAGGAGUCUAACAUCUAUGCGAGUGUUCGGGUGUCAAACCCGUCCGCGCAGUGAAAGCGAACGGAGGUGGGAGCCUUUCGGGGCGCACCAUCGACCGAUCCUGAAGUCUUCGGAUGGAUUUGAGUAAGAGCAUAGCUGUUGGGACCCGAAAGAUGGUGAACUAUGCCUGAAUAGGGCGAAGCCAGAGGAAACUCUGGUGGAGGCUCGCAGCGGUUCUGACGUGCAAAUCGAUCGUCAAAUUUGGGUAUAGGGGCGAAAGACUAAUCGAACCAUCUGGUAGCUGGUUCCUGCCGAA
rnacentral:rRNA from 1 species